AGCAGAAGAGACAUGAAAAGACAAAAGCAAAGAGAAACCAAAUGGCUAGAAAACAAAGAAACAAGAGUAGUAAUGACACCGCCCAUAGAAAAAACCAUCAAUGCAAAAAAACCAAAACCCACUCAUAGCCAGAGCCAAAAGAUAAGCACAAAAUACCAGUCGAAAAAACUUCUCCCUUCUUAUAAAAGACGAAAUUGUCAGAUGAUAGAACUGAGAUAUCCAACACUUUGAGACCAGCCAUGGAGAAACAAAAGAAACUUCUCCAGAAUCAAAGCAUUCUAUAGCGAAAACUGAUGUUUUUGAGACCAAAGCGCCCAAUCCUUUUCCACUAUCUUUAAUACCUAGUCAGGAACACCAUCGACCUAAAGACCAGAAAACUGUCUUCUUCUCCCUUCCAUCGCCAGAGUGGGGCUGCUCCAUUAUUCCGACGGGGAAUGAAUAGUUUUUUGAUAACCGUCAUAGAGUCCCUUUCAACCACAAGACAUAGAAAGCCCAUUCGAGAUGCAAAAAAUAAAGUUCUUUCACAUGCCCUUGCUUCCACCACGAACGCAUCAACAACAUUUGUAAACAGAUAAGUUUCUGCCCCUACUAUUUUUCCUUCAGAAUCUCUAGCUAGGACUGCAGAUGGUGAAGUUUUAAAUUUACUUUGAAAAGUUGCAUCAAAAUUUAAUUUGAUAAAACCUAACUUUGGGAGCCUCCAAACUUCAUUCGGCUAGGAAGCACAAAACACUUCCAUUUUCUCUUUGCAUAAAUUAAGUUCUUGACCAUAGCCUCGAAUGAACCCUAACACUUCCUGCAAAGAAAAAUUAAUACCCUCAUAAAUCAACUUAUUUCUUCUGUACCACAGAGCCCAUAAGGAGAUUGCAAUAUAUUGUUUAUUAUCAUCAUCUGCUAAACAAAAAGUAUUAACAAAGUGAUUUUUGCAGCUCAAAGUGGUAUCAACAGGGGCAAUUCUGAUUUGAAGAGAUGCCCAAACACUCUGUAACAUAUCACAAGACCAUAAGAGGUGGUUAGUAUUCUCUGGUGCUACCUUGCAAAGGGGAAAAUCAACUCUAACACGCAAGGACCUUUGCUUCAGAUUACAGUAAUUAGGCAAAAAGUUGUUGAACAAUCUCCAUACAUGAACUUUGAUUUUUUUGGUACGCGCAUAGCCCAUAAAGACCUGUAAAAAUCCUUGUAACCCACAUUAUUAGGAUUGAUGUAAUUUGUGUUUAGAAGAUGUUCUGUAAUUAAGACCCUAUAUCCACUUUUUACUGAGUAUUCCCCUGAGCCCUCGUACUUCUAGACCAAUGUAUCCUCUAAUCGAGCUCCAGAUAAUGGAAUGGACAGAAUACGAUCAACAUGCACAGCAUCAACAAUGUUAUGAAUCAGCUCCUUGUUUCAGGGAGCAAAGGGUCAUUCCAAAUAUUGAUGCUAGCCCCAUUGCCAACUCGCCAUAAAAGCCCAUCUGCAAUCAGAUCUCUAGUACUGCAAAUGCUCCUCUAGGUAAAUGAUGGAUUUUGCUCGUUAGCGAUCGGAUUCGGGAUCAUAGAAGUUGAAGUCAACCACACUAUCAAAGCCCUUUUGGUACUCCUUUAGUUGAGUUCGGAUAUGGCAUGUAUAGGACUACCCUCGGUUAUUUUAAGUACUUGUGAUGUAUAUGUGUACGGCCAUGCGAAAAUGGUUCGUAAUAGUGGAGUAUGGAAUUAGACCAUUUGUGGUUUGUAAUUAUAUAUGGUUUCAUGAUGUGAUUAUGGAUUGGAAUGGGAGUGUUGGUCACAUGAUCAGCCAUUGGAAUGGCUAAAUAUGAUCAUAUGUGGACCCAUGUAUGGCAAGACCAUAGUUGGCCCAUGGAGACUACAAAUUAGGUAAAGCCUACCUUAAAAACAGAUGCUGCCAGCUGCAGUGAUGUGGAUGGGGAAAAUCACCAAAAUUUUUAGGAAUGGUGUUAAAUAGUGAAUAAAUUACGUGAUCGAA